rnacentral:rRNA from 1 species
GUGGAUAACCUACCUAUAAGACUGGGAUAACUUCGGGAAACCGGAGCUAAUACCGGAUAAUAUAUUGAACCGCAUGGUUCAAUAGUGAAAGACGGUUUUGCUGUCACUUAUAGAUGGAUCCGCGCCGCAUUAGCUAGUUGGUAAGGUAACGGCUUACCAAGGCAACGAUGCGUAGCUGACCUGAGAGGGUGAUCGGCCACACUGGAACUGAGACACGGUCCAG